AUGUCGGUCUCGUCCUCCUCUAUGUGCGGCGGGGACGCCGGGAUGAAGUGCGUGGUCUGGUUCCGGAGGGACCUCAGGGUGGAGGACAACCCGGCGCUGGCGGCGGCGGCGCGCACCGCCGGGGAGGUGGUGCCGGCGUACGUGUGGUCGCCGGAGGAGGACGGCCCCUACUUCCCCGGCCGCGUGUCGCGGUGGUGGCUCAGCCAGAGCCUCAAGCACCUGGAGGCCUCGCUCCACCGCCUCGGCGCCGCCAAGCUCGUCACCCGGAGGUCGCCCGACUCCGUCGCCGCGCUGCUCCAGCUCGUCCGCGACACCGGCGCCACGCACCUCUUCUUCAACCAUCUCUACGACCCGAUCUCGCUGGUCAGGGACCACCGGCUCAAGGAGAUGCUGACGGCAGAGGGCAUCGUCGUGCAGUCUUUCAAUGCCGACCUGCUGUAUGAUCCAUGGGAGGUCAACGAUGAUAAAGGCCAACCGUUCAACAUGUUCAUGCCGUUCUGGAACAGGUGCCUCAGCAUGCCGUAUGAUCCCCCCGCGCCACUGCUGCCCCCUAAGAGAAUCAAUUCAGGUGACCUAUCGAUGUGCCCAUCAGACGAUCUGAUCUUCGAGGAUGAGUCAGAGAGGGGAAGCAAUGCGCUUCUGGCACGGGCAUGGUCACCAGGCUGGCAGAACGCAGAUAAGGCGCUCAGUGCCUUCCUGAACGGCCCUUUGAUCGACUACUCGGUGAACCGCAAGAAGGCGGACAGCGCAAACACCUCCCUCCUUUCACCUUACCUGCAUUUUGGUGAGCUGAGUGUGCGCAAGGUUUUCCACCUUGUUCGAAUGAAGCAACUCGUGUGGAGCAAUGAGGGCAACCAUGCAGCGGAGGAGAGCUGCACUCUAUUCCUCCGAUCGGUCGGCCUCCGGGAGUACUCGCGAUAUCUUUGCUUCAACCAUCCAUGCAGCCAUGAGAAGCCCCUCCUUGCACACCUCAGGUUCUUCCCUUGGGUGGUCGACGAAAGCACCUUCAAGUUUUGGCGCCAGGGACGGACUGGCUACCCUCUUGUUGAUGCUGGCAUGAGGGAGUUGUGGGCGACUGGGUGGCUGCAUGAUCGGAUACGUGUGGUGGUUUCAAGUUUUUUCGUCAAGGUCCUUCAACUACCAUGGCGAUGGGGGAUGAAGUAUUUUUGGGACACUUUACUGGAUGCUGAUCUUGAAAGUGAUGCGCUUGGUUGGCAGUACAUCUCUGGCUCUCUCCCUGAUAGCCGGGAGCUCGACCACAUUGACAACCCUCAGCUCGAAGGCUACAAGUUUGAUCCACAUGGGGAAUAUGUCCGACGGUGGCUUCCUGAACUUGCAAGGCUGCCAACAGAAUGGAUACACCACCCAUGGGAUGCGCCUGCGUCUGUGCUGCAAGCUGCAGGAGUUGAGUUAGGCUCCAACUAUCCUCUCCCCAUAGUUGAGCUAGAUACAGCGCAAGUCAGGCUGCAAGAAGCCCUGUCAGAAAUGUGGCAACUUGAGGCAGCAUCCAGGGCCGCAAUGGACACUGGAAUGGAGGAAGGCCUGGGCGACUCCUCAGAGGUGCCACCCAUCGAAUUUCCUCAAGAUUUGCAGAUGGAAGUCCACUGGGAACCAGCCCGGGUAGCACCCAAUGUGCUCACAACUGCACAGAGACGCCAGGAUCAGAUGGUGCCUACCAUGACAACUUCACUCAACAGGGUUGAAACAGAAAUUUCUGCUGAUUUGGGGAAUAGCGUGGAUAGUAGGGCAGAGGUGCCGUUCCGCAUGCAUUUUGAGCCACGGACUGAGAGGGAGGAAAUGAUUCGAAGCACGGGCAAUGCAGCUGGAACUAAUGGCAUUCACCAUCACAAUAACUUUCAGCAACCUCAGCACCGUAUGAGAAAUAUUUUUGCGCCAUCUGUUUCUGAAGCGUCAAGUAGCUGGACCGGGAGAGAUGGUGGCGUGGUCCCAGUUUGGUCACCUCCUGCAGCAUCAGGCCAUUCCGAAACUUAUGGAGCUGAUGAAGCUGAUGUUUCUAGUAGGAGUUAUUUGGAUAGGCAUCCUCAGUCACACCGGAUAAUGAACUGGCAUCAGCUAUCACAGUCAUUGACAACAGGCAGGGACGUGGAGAACUCCGUGCAGCCAAAUUUCAUCGGUUAG
rnacentral:rRNA from 1 species